rnacentral:rRNA from 1 species
UACGAAGGGGGCUAGCGUUGCUCGGAAUCACUGGGCGUAAAGGGUGCGUAGGCGGGUCUUUAAGUCAGGGGUGAAAUCCUGGAGCUCAACUCCAGAACUGCCUUUGAUACUGAGGAUCUUGAGUUCGGGAGAGGUGAGUGGAACUGCGAGUGUAGAGGUGAAAUUCGUAGAUAUUCGCAAGAACACCAGUGGCGAAGGCGGCUCACUGGCCCGAUACGUGA